UACGUAGGGCGCAAGCGUUAUCCGGAAUUAUUGGGCGUAAAGAGCUCGUAGGCGGUUUGUCGCGUCUGCCGUGAAAGUCCGGGGCUCAACUCCGGAUCUGCGGUGGGUACGGGCAGACUAGAGUGAUGUAGGGGAGACUGGAAUUCCUGGUGUAGCGGUGAAAUGCGCAGAUAUCAGGAGGAACACCGAUGGCGAAGGCAGGUCUCUGGGCAUUACCUGACACUGAGGAGCGAAAGCGUGGGGAGCGAACAGG
rnacentral:rRNA from 1 species